rnacentral:lncRNA from 1 species
UUAGGUAGAGCCAUAGUUGUCUUAUGCCACAGAAGUAGUGGGACAACUGAUUCAUGGCUAGAUUCAGUGUGUCUCUAGCCCACAACUGUGGGAGUAAUUCAUAACUCUCCAUUGUCCAAAAGAUACAGGAUCAAUGUAUUAUAUUCUUAUUGUUCUAAUUAGUUCUAAAUGACAGUAGAAUGCACUUUGAUACAUUACACAUAAAUGGAGUAUAAUUUCUCAUUCUUCUGAUUAUAUAUGAUGUAGAAUUAUACAAAUUGUGUAGUCAUAUAUGUACAUAGACUAAUAAUGUCUGAUUCAUUCUACUAUCCUUGCUACCCCUGUCCCCACUCCUCUCUUUUCACUCCCCUCUACCUAAUCUAAAGUAACUCUAUUCUUCCCUAGCUACCUCCCCUUAUUGUGAAUUAGCAUUCAUAUACCAGAGAAAAUAUUUGGCCUGUGGUUGUUUGAGAUUGGCUUAUUUCACUUAGCAUGAUAUUCUCCAGCUCCAUCCAUUUACCUGUAAAUGCUGUGAUUUUAUUCUUCUUUAAGGCUGAGUAAUAUUCCAUUGUGUGUAUAUACCACGUUUUCUUUAUCCCUUCAUCUGUUGAAGGGUACCUAGGAUGGUUUCAUGGGAUGAGUAUAUUCUUAACCCAUAUAGGUAGAGGCUGGACCUGGACACUCUUAUGAUCUUGGAGAAAGAGUAAUGCUUUGGGUUAGAUAGAGCUGCUUUUGACUCUUAGUCUGGCCCCUGUUAGUUAUGAAUCUAUAAGCAAUUAAAUAUUCUCUGCCAAAAGAAUAUCUAUGCCAUAAAUAAUUGUUAGACCAGAUGUAAAGUGGGCAUAGAUUAGAGCCCAUGAACAAAGAUCUGGCAUUAGGACACUGUUGUGAAUAUCAUACAUAUAUGGUCCUGUCCCUAAUUCAUACCCCGUGACCUUCCUAGACUCCCUCUUUUCUGAAUUUCUGUCACUUCUGUCUUUAUAGUUUCUAUAUCUAAUAUCUGGAAACAUAGUAGCCAUGGCCAUGUUAUUCUCAAGAUAUCUCAAAUGUACAGGAUCAUUAUCAUUUCUGAACAUCCAGUUCAUAAACAUGAGACACUCAUUCUAAACCAUUCUAAUAAGCUAAUAUAAUUGCAAGAUAUAGAAUAAUCCCAGAGUUCUCUCUCCAGGGACUUUCUGAAGUAAAGAACAUACACUGGUCAUAUGAAAAUUGACCUUGGAUUGCAAUAAACAGCACUUUUAGUUUUGUUAUGUUUCUUAUUAUAUUUACCAAACAACAACAAAAAGCCCAUCAGAAACAUCAUUGAUUCUAUGUCUGUGUUUAGAGUUUAAAUUAGGGGAUUUGGGCUAAAAAUUUCUUUCAACACAGAAGGUUGGCUGAGAUUGUGGAUAUUCUGAAAGUCUUUCUACAUGAGGAUUUAUACACAGACUUGGAGCUGAUUAAAUCAGUAGAUGCAAUUGAAGGAAUAUAGGAAAUUUUAUUUAAAUAUUAAAGGCUAAUCUGUGGUAAAAGAAACAAAUUUACUCUACAUUGAUCCAGAAGGAAGAACUAGAAUUAAUGGUCUAGAGUUUCAACAAAUAAGUUUUCUUCAUCAGUGUAAGGACAACCUUCCUAAUCAUUAGAAUUAGGUACUGAGCAACUUCCCUGAGCUACUUCCCACCUCCUUGAUAAAUCUGGAUUUUUUUCCCUAGAUAUUCCAGGCUCUGUUUCAGCUGUGUCCCCUGCCAAAGUCAUUAAUACCAAGUUUCUUUUCCUUCCUUUCUACUCUUCAUGGACAUGAAUUGAAACACUCUGCAUAGAACAUGAUGAAAAUUUAAUUAGUUGGCUUCUGUUAAUAAUGGGCCAGUAUUUUAAAUAUACAGAUGAUUUUUUAUUUGAAGGUAGAUUUUUCCCCACGUUAGAAUAGUCUUUGAUCCUUCCCCCAAAGCCUUUUUUAAUCUACAUAAUUUUGAACUUAUCUCACCUAUAGCUGUAUAAUAUAUCUCAGAAAAAAAAAGUCUGAAAAUGUGGCCUACCUUUGCUCAGAUGACCUUGAGCAGAACAUUGCC